rnacentral:rRNA from 1 species
UCCUACGGGGGGCAGCAGUGGGGAAUAUUGCGCAAUGGGGGAAACCCUGACGCAGCAACGCCGCGUGAGUGAAGACGUAUCUCGGUAUGUAAAGCUCUAUCAGCGGGGAAGAAGGAAGACGGUACCCGACUAAGAAGCCCCGGCUAACUACGUGCCAGCAGCCGCGGUAAUACGUAGGGGGCAAGCGUUAUCCGGAUUUACUGGGUGUAAAGGGAGCGUAGACGGCAGUGCAAGUCUGAAGUGAAAGGCAAGGGCUCAACCCUUGGACUGCUUUGGAAACUGUGCUGCUGGAGUGUCGGAGAGGG